AGAGGAAGUAAAAGUCGUAACAAGGUCUCCGUUGGUGAACCAGCGGAGGGAUCAUUAUUAGAAGCCGAAAGGCUACUUAAAACCAUCGCGAACUCGUCCAAGUUGCUUCGGCGGCGCGGCCUCCCCCACGGGGGCGCCGCAGCCCCGCCUCUCCGGAGGUGUAGGCGCCCGCCGGAGGUACGAAACUCUGUAUUAUAGUGGCAUCUCUGAGUAAAAACAAAUAAGUUAAAACUUUCAACAACGGAUCUCUUGGUUCUGGCAUCGAUGAAGAACGCAGCGAAAUGCGAUAAGUAAUGUGAAUUGCAGAAUUCAGUGAAUCAUCGAAUCUUUGAACGCACAUUGCGCCCGCUAGUACUCUAGCGGGCAUGCCUGUUCGAGCGUCAUUUCAACCCUCAAGCCCUGCUUGGUGUUGGGGCCCUACGGCUGCCGUAGGCCCUGAAAGGAAGUGGCGGGCUCGCUACAACUCCGAGCGUAGUAAUUCAUUAUCUCGCUAGGGACGUUGCGGCGCGCUCCUGCCGUUAAAGACCAUC
rnacentral:rRNA from 1 species